rnacentral:lncRNA from 1 species
GGCCGCUCCUUCCUAUAAUGAAGUAGGCACUGGCCCAGAAUGUGAGAACCCAGUUCUGAGAAUCUGGAUGACCAUCCCCUUGCUAGAACCCCAGUUACAUUACUUUCUACAUGGGAGGAGGAAAGGCCACCCUCUCGCUGACCAGGCGAGGGUUGGGAUGGGUCAGGAAGACCAAAGAGAGAAGUGUAUUAAAAAAGAAAGCCUGGCUAACAAAAUUGUCUCUUACAGCAACUUAUGUCAAUUUCCCCUAAUUCAGGCAACUCUAAUUGUGAGAAAAGCAUUCAACUGUUUCGAGGGUGCCACUUAACACGGAGAACGAUUCUUUUGAACUGAUGAGAAUUUUCUAGAAGUCACAUGUUGUUUUCACUUUCACCUAUUAAAACCGAAGCUUGCAUUCAGCUCUUUAGAAAGCUUCCCAGCACAGUCAGUCAGCAGCAGAGGUGUGAGCUGGCUCUCAGGUCUGUGCCAGGGGUCACCGCCCUGUGGCAGUUCAGCCAGCUUGGCAAGCUGCAGUCUUGGUCUCAGAACUGAACGUAUUUUGAAAGAAAACUCUGCAAAAAGGCCACAGGGGAUCAACAGGAAACAGUCUAUGUCUAUCAUUGUCUCCACUGUCUUUUGGCCUGGAAGCUGCGGGCAGCAGACAGGAAAAGGACUGAGCCAGGAGGAAAUGAAGUUCCAGGUUUGGAGUGGACCUGAGCCUGGAUGAGACCCCCUCAUACAUCUGGGAUUUGCCAGGUGGGAACCAAACCUGCCCUGAGCCAGCAACCAGGAGGCAAGGACUCACCUGGAAGGGACAUCAGCUAAGCUCUUUGAGCUCUGUAAGCUCUAAAAUGCAAACUGCUAUUUCAAUGAAAGAAGUUCCCAUGACCAGGUUCCCCAGUGCUCCAGCCACUGGUGUGAGUGGGAUCCUAUUUCCAUUUCCUAGGUACACAGAAGGCCCACCGCACGGGGCCAUGAAAUGUGUGUGUAUCUUGGGGGAACAGAGGUAUUUUGCAUAAUACAGAUAUCUUUGCAGAUACAGACAAACAGGAAGUUUCAAAACAGGCCAUUUCCUUUCACUGUGAAUCAGCAGCUGCUUCCUUCUCACAGAGAAGCGAUAACAGUCUCACAGUCUCACGGUGCAUUGCUGUGGAGUACAGGUGAACAGCACAGAUGCCCCCAAGAGUGGCCUCCCUGAUCUAGGACAUCCCUGUCUGCCCCAGCCCUGCCCUGCUUCCUCUAGGCAUUGGUCUGCACCUGUCUGGCUUUUUGAGGGCUUCAAGAAAUGUUUGGAUCCCAGUUCUCCACAUAUUAGCCAAAGUCUUCAGCCACCCAACUUCAAUGACAUUAAUGCUGGGAAUGAGCACCUACCCAUCAGUUCCUGGAUGAAGCUUGUGUCACUGAGAAGUGCUGUAGAGUAACAAGCCCACCCUAGACUUGUCAUAGGGUUGCCUGGGUUCGAUCCCCAUUCUAGCCCAGAGAGACAUGGGCAAACCACUGUCCCCUCUCAACCUGGGCUCCUUUGUCAGUUAAUUGGAGCUGGAAAAGCGACCUUGCAGCCUUGGGGUGAAAGGGAGGACUAUUAGGCAGAAAAAUAAAAACACAAGCUUUGAUAUCA